AACUGAUACUACCUGCGGGAACCUGCGGAAGGAUCAUUAACGUGUUUCGUCGGGGGCGGUGCCGGUCUCGGUGCACGCCCCCUUCAAACUCCCGUUCACACCCAUCACGUGCACCUUUAUGAGAUCGCGGGAGUCCUCUCUCUCUCGUGGUCUGAAUGUCUGACACCGCCAUGAUGAUCGAAAUGAACGUAAAGAACUUAAAAGAAACACAACUUUUAACAAUGGAUCUCUAGAUCGGAA
rnacentral:misc_RNA from 1 species